AUUGAACGCUGGCGGCAGGCUUAACACAUGCAAGUCGAGCGAGCGGCGGACGGGUGAGUAAUGUAUGGGGAACUGCCCGAUAGAGGGGGAUAACUACUGGAAACGGUAGCUAAUACCGCAUACUAUCAGAUGAACCCAUAUUGGAUUAGCUAGUAGGUGGGGUAAUGGCUCACCUAGGCGACGAUCCCUAGCUGGUCUGAGAGGAUGACCAGCCACACUGGGACUGAGACACGGCCCAGACUCCUACGGGAGGCAGCAGUGGGGAAUAUUGAACAAUGGGCGCAAGCCUGAUGCAGCCAUGCCGCGUGUGUGAAGAAGGCCUUAGGGUUGUAAAGUACUUUCAGCGAGGAGGCGUUACCCGCAGAAGAAGCACCGGCUAACUCCGUGCCAGCAGCCGCGGUAAUAC
rnacentral:rRNA from 1 species